UUCGAAGGGGGCUAGCGUUGUUCGGAAUUACUGGGCGUAAAGCGCACGUAGGCGGAUAUUUAAGUCAGGGGUGAAAUCCCGGGGCUCAACCCCGGAACUGCCUUUGAUACUGGGUAUCUGGAGUAUGGAAGAGGUGAGUGGAAUUCCGAGUGUAGAGGUGAAGUUCGUAGAUAUUCGGAGGAACACCAGUGGCGAAGGCGGCUCACUGGUCCAUUACUGACGCUGAGGUGCGAAAGCGUGGGGAGCAAACAGG
rnacentral:rRNA from 1 species